CCGUGGGCCACUUUUUUGCUGUUUGGCAAACUGCAGCUCCAGGUCCUCAUAUCUGUGCCUCAGAACACCUGGCCAGCGUCCAUCAGGAGCAGCUGACUGCUACUGCCAGAUCUGGACAAGAUCCAGGACCUUGCCCUCUGGGGUCACUAAUGACUGUUCUGCAAUCAUCCAAGGAGGAGCGCGAGAACGAGGGCUACAG